rnacentral:tRNA from 1 species
GGCGCUAUCGUCUAGGGGACGGAAGAUUCUCAAUCUUCAAACCCGGGUUCGAUUCCCGGUAGCGCUACCA